GAUGACUGGAUAAAUGAGUUCUGCAAGGAUGAGAGUGCUGACAAAGAGCAGCAGAGUAUUGUUGAUGAACAGGGAGGAUCAAAUGCAGAGAGCUCUGAGGCAUCUGCAGCUGAGAACGCUGCAGCUGAAAAGGCUGCAGCUGAGGCAGCUGAGGCUGAGGAAGAACUUCUGCAUGAUCGGCAGCAGCAUUGCAUGUUUCAAGACACAUGCUCAAUGCCUGUUGAUAUUGGCCAGGAAGCGCUGGACCAAUAUUUUGAUGGUGUUUUGAACUUGGCUCCAGCUGAUGGACAGAACCCUGUGAAGGUUUUGACAACAAAGGAGAACGAGGCCAAGUGUUUCCCUGUGUUGUUUCCAAAAGGCCGUGGUACAUUUUUUGAUAACAGAAAAUUUUCUCUGACUCUGUUCCGCUAUUUGAGCAACAGGCUAUAUCAUGCUGAUGGUAGGUUUGCGCA